AUACGGAGGUUGCAAGCGUUACUCGGAAUCACUGGGCGUAAAGCGCGCGCAGGCGGCUAUUUAAGUUGGAUGUGAAAGCCUACGGCUCAACCGUAGAACUGCAUCCAAAACUAUUUAGCUAGAGUGUGGGAGAGGAAGAUGGAAUUAGUUGUGUAGGGGUAAAAUCCGUAGAGAUAACUAGGAAUACCAAAAGCGAAGGCAAUCUUCUGGAACACUACUGACGCUGAGGCGCGAAAGCGUGGGGAGCAAACGGGAUUAGAAACCCCUGUAGUCC
rnacentral:rRNA from 1 species